UAUUAAUAAUUAUAGUGUUAAUUGSUUAUAGUGUUAUUGUUGUAAUAAAGCAGAAUAUGUUCAACCUACAGACGGAGCAUCAACGCUUUGCCCGUUCUAGCUCUAAAGAGUCAAGCUCAACUCUCUCGCUGGCUAACCUCAUCACUCUUCUCCAAGCAAUUAUAGCUGCAACUGCAGCAUAAAGCCUGCAAUGUUACCAGUGACCAGUCAGCUCCAAACCUGCUUCUCUGACUAGAAUGGUUCUUCACUCAACAUUCAGGAAAACAUUUUUCCCUUCUGCUUGUUUGCGUGACAAAUAAACCUUAAGAAUGAAAA